GUGCACACUAUGACAGCACAUAUAUUAAAGCCGGAACAAUACAGAGAAGAUUAGCANGGCCCUGUGAAGGGAUGACACAAAAGCUCAGGAAGCAUUCCAUAUCUAA
rnacentral:snRNA from 1 species